AUAAUGCCAAGUUUAUGGUAUCUUAGUGUGUUGCUAUGGAAGUGAUAUUAGCAACAUUAGACAUCCAGCACUGUGGGCUGAGUAGCAGUAGAAUGGGAUAGAAACUGAAAGCCUGGGUGCGGUAGAAGAAGCUUUCAUUUCAACACAAAUAUCUUUGAUUCUUUGGAAAACCAUCAGAGAAAGAGGACAGUAUAUCAGAGGAAAGUCGCCUCGCGGGAGGAGAAGGUGAGGUGCUGUCAUGCGCCGUCACACGUGGAGAUGAAGGUCAAAGCACCCUUCAGCUUGGUUGACAACGGGAGCUGCCGGUGACCCGCUCUCCCGACUGCUCAGCAUUACAAAUAGCCGGGUGGGACAGUCCCUUGAAGCUCCUGCUGGACCCCUUUGCAGCAGGGUCCCAGCUACUCUGUGUUGUCGCCCAUGCUCCAUGAAGAUGUGGCAUGCAUGAAUCACAGCAGCAGUUCAGCACGUGUGGAGGCUCUGCCACAGGUGGGACGUCUUACCUUGGAGACCAGCAGGGGACGUGGGACACCUGGGACACGUUUCCUGAGAGACACCCAGCAGCUCGAGGGACCACACAAGUUCAUGCUCCGUAACUGGGAAAAAAGAAGAAAGAGAAGUACGCAGAGACGUUGGUAACCCACUGUCAGACCGAGCUCCGGACUAGAAUUUGUCAAUGGAAGAUGCUAGAUCUUGUUCUGUUGGCUUUGCGGAGGAUUUACCUGUGGAAUCCAAGUGCUUGCACAACUCUGCUGAGAAGUUCCAGAGCUGACCUUCAGCAUCACUCCUGAGCGACUGCUCGAGCUGCGCACCCUGAAACCUCCCCUGGCUUCAGGUAAGACUGGAUUAUCGCAUGAUGCCUUGCAUUAGAAUUGGAGCUAUAAAGGAUGCUGCUGCCUGCACGCUGAGCCCUGUGUGCUGAGAUGCCUGAGGAUAUGAUGUGCCUGAUGUGCCAACCCUUCUGAGCUCCUCUUGCACGUCGCCUUCCCUCUGCUGUCCCCAGCCCCGGCAGGAGCCCAGGAAACCCCUCGUGGUGUGAGCAUCAGCAAUGCCACGGCACCGUCUUCAGGCUCCGGGACCGGCUCUGCUGUCACCCAUCUCUUCAGAGUGUGCUUAAGGCACCCAAACUGCUGGUACCAAGGCGAGCACAGCUCUACCUCACCCGGAAUUUUACUCUCAGCCCCAUUAUUGGUGUUCCGACACGUGUUGGCUGGACAGUUGCUGUAGGACAGAUCAAGCAGUUCUUGUCUGAAAAUCUGGAGUCCAGUGUAACCAAGUGGAAAGUGAAGAUAUUUGGUGACGUAGAAAUAUUUUUAACAGGGAAAUGCAGCUGAAAAACUGAGAGCUUUUCAUGAGGUCUCAAAUGACUGUAGCCCAGUCUUCUUCCAGAAAAAAAUGGUCAUCACCUGCAAAGCUUUCCCAGAGAGAUGGGAUGAGAAGGAAAUACUUCUCUUCAGAGGGGAGCCUGAUCACCGUACAGUAUUGUGUGGCACCAUACAGCAGCACCUGCAGCGUGCCUUUGGUCAGCGUGGCAGACCCUGCACCCUACGGAGCAACUCCCUCCAACCUCCAGGAGCUGCUGAUCAUCAGGUCCUGCUCGUGGGAGAGGUCCCAGUGGCCAAAGGGAGCACGGGAAAGCCUAAAGAAAAAGCCCAUCAUAGCCAAACUUGUGGACUUUUGAUGGUGGAAUUGUAAAAGCAACAAGCAGUGCUGGCAGCAGGAUGGAAGGAACGUUUCAAGCUGCUUUUGUUAGUUUAUAGCAGGGAUCCCAUCAGCAGUGUCCAAAUGCCAGCCAGCAGAGCAGAGUCAGAGCGCUUUCAGCAAUUUCAUUAUAAACCCUGCUACUGAGAAAUUUAUAAGACUGCUAUAAAACUUCACUCAAGGCUGAUCAGUGCCAGAGAACAUUCCUUUUCCACUAAAAAAUAACAUGCGGCUGCUGUUUAUAAAUGAUAGGGUUGCGAAAGUGGAGAGAGAGAGGCAGAUUUUCAAAGGCAUAAAUUGGGGUUGGAUACCCAUUCUCUGCUUCUUGGAAUAUCGGUCAAUAAAUUCAAAACAAAAGAGAUGAGGCAAAAAAACUUUUACAGAGUUCCUGUGUAGCAAAGCAUAAAUUUUGAUGAAUAGGAGGAAGUAAUGAUGGAAAUUUGCCUGCAUAAAUUUUUUUCCCCCUCAACAGGCUAUUUUUUUUUCCCUACUCUGUCUUUUAAAAUUAUAAUUAGAUUUUGGAUUAUGUUCUUUUGGUGAUUGAAACUUUAAAAGGACAAGUUGCUAGAGUUUCAAAAUUAUCUUCUAUAACUUCUCCUUCAUAUAAUUUUAUACCUGCCCAUAUUGUCAUUUUAACAGCUUCCUGCUGUGAUAAAUUAUAAUGACCAUCUGCCCAUGAUCACCUGUCAGCUAUAAAAUAUUGCAAUAUACAUUUUGAAAUUGGACAAAUUAAUCUUUGCCUGAUAGACUUUUCCACUGUCUUAUUUCUUAUAUACCUCUGUAAUAUUUCUUCUUCUAAAUUUGGCUGCCUUCUAAUUAAUAAAAUUAAAUAAGAGGAGUUAGACAAAGGAAAUUAAAUUCCAAGUUGCUAAAGGACAAAGAGUUUGAGUAACACACACAAAAAGUAUGACAAACCUGUGUUCCUGUAGCACCUCUUUUCCUCAAGGUUUUACAGGCAAUACAGCUUGUGACAUCUCUUACUGUCUGUCUCCUUCACUGUGCAUAGCGAGUAGGUAUGGUGUGAUUAACAGGAUGGAUUUGCUGAGUGCAGUUCCUGCUCGACACAAAGAAAGAAAAGAUGUGACCAGAAGGAAAAGGCGAUUUGCAGGAGAAGGACUUUCUGCCCAUUUUUCUACACUAAAGUGGACGACUGAAAAAUAACUCUCCAAACAACUCCGCAGUUUCCAACUUCCCUUCCUUUCUCUGUCGCUCCCCGAGGCAGUGGAAGGUGGAGGGAAGGCCACCAGUGGCAGACAGGCUGGUAAAGAGGGGUCAGGGCAAACAUGUCUCUGGUGAAGCCAUCUGGGUCCUGGGAACACCAGGAGAGGGCCGGGGGGGUGGCAGGACAAACUACAUCUAGAUCCUUGACAUGUCUUAAAACAUCCUUCAGUUGCAGUUAAGCCUCAGCCAGCUCAGAGUUGAAGACAGCCUUGUUCUCCUCUCACCUCGGGUGGCCCUUGGCUCAGAAAUCUGCACUGAUUUUACAAAGGAAGAAGGGACCUGUUACAGAUUUUAAAAUAACAGAAGAGCGUAAAAUCCUGCCUUCCACUCUAUCACUUGUUCUUUUUAACACGGCAUUCAUUCUGUGCUAUUUAUGGCAUCAAAUUAUGGGAAAUGUAGUCCCAUGUAGUGUUGUUCAAAAUGUAGUCUUUUAAACUCCUCCUGAGGAAGCUGGGAACACUAACCUGGACAAAUCGGCUGGUUGUCAGUUGGUCUCCAUGCAUUAUUUAGGAGUCCACGACUUUAUAGACUAUACCAGAGGUCUGCUGUUGAAAAAUCACUUUUCUGUGAAAUACAUGUGUGAAAAUUGGGCAACUCUCCCACUGGUUCUAUGGGGAAGCUGAGACCAGUUCAGUGACUCAGCAGAAGUGUAUCUAAUGCAGAGAGAAAAAAAAGAAAUGGAGUAAGAUGUCAUUUAGAUUAAAAAAAAACCCAAACCAAACCAAAACUGGCUUCCUUAGGCAUCCUCAUGCUAUUACAAGCAGCAAUGUAAAACGUGACAGUGAAGAGCAGGUCACGUAAGUGAAGACCCCUGUCAGCUCAGCUCUGGAGCCACAGAGCUCCCACCCAUCCCAAGAACAGAUCUGCUGGAUCCUCACAAGCAGUCCCCACAUCAUCGUUCCUGUGCUAGAAUAAAUCAAUCAGCAGAACGGAGCGGGGAAAAAUAAAUCUCUGCUGGCAAAGCCUUUGCAAUAAGCAGUUGACUCCCUACCAGACUUGUCUCUUGGAAGCUGACAGGAUUCAUGUCAACACAAACUGCAGAAUCAUUGGAAAAGGCAGAAACUGCAGCUGUCAGUAAAUCCUUCCAGACAGAGACAGCACGGAGUUCAAGUGAGGAUGCAGGAGACUUUGGGAUGCUUUUCUGGCAGAAAUGCAGAAGCAGCCCCUGGGAGCGCUCCCCAGGGCACCAGCUCCGUUCCUCACCCACUGGGCGGUGAGGCUUCUGCAGGGCUGGGUCUCUGUCUCUUUCACAUCUGUGAAGAUCUCAGCUGAAGGCAGCCCUGCUCCACCUGUCUCCGGGUCCAGCCUAGGACAUAGCCAGCGCCAACUCAGGGCCCAAGCCCCAGACCCUCAAGCCCCGGCUCCAUAUUUCCACUCCAGGCUGCCGGCAAAGCAGGUGAUUUCUCUAAAUUCCUCAUCUAACACUGAAACCUGACUUAAGCAUCCUAUUUUGGGGUUUGAACAGAGGAAAGACCUCUCUCCGCCCAGGAGGAACACUUUUCCCAUCCUGCGGGCUCUCGGGUCCAUGUCCCUGCUCCUGGUGGUGGCACACGAGCCUCUCCACCCCUGCCUUGCUGUGAGAAAGCCAUCUCAAAGGGUGACCCACCACCAGAGGGGACCCAGGGGAGCAGGAGACCCAGGCCAGCCCACACCUACCACUGCUCCAGCGCAGAUAGUCUGGAUGGUGCCCAAACUCCAUCUUUUUCUCUACCUUUCCCUCCCACGUGGUUCACGUUCUAUGUCAUCAAGGUCAAAAUUCUUCCCGUGUCUUCCUGGGAAGGCUGGUCCUUCAUGCUGGGAUCAGAAACCCUGUUGGGAAGACUUUGGUUUCCAAGUUACAAAUAAGUAAUACAGUGGGGAAAACUAUGAAAACUACCUUAGAAGAACGUACAUAUUUGAGUGAAAAUUAAUCUGUGUCUCCUGAGGUUGGAUGUGGAUUCGGCUCUUCCCAUCUACUUCAUAAAGCCUACAAUUAAAACUGCAUCUCAAUUUUAAAACUCGUUUAUUCUUUGGAAGAAUUUUGAGACUCUACUAAUCAGUAAAUGUAGCGAAAAAAAGUAAGACACCGUUCUGAGAGGGUCAGGCUUGUGCUGAGACCUCCCGCAUCCUGCCUUAGUACUGGUUUCAUCAGCAAAGCUCGGAACGGAGCAGUAAACUCAGAGUGCAGUUUAGUGGGCACAGGAUUACCCGGCUCCCAGAGAAGCAUAAGCCUUUCGCUCUGCCAUCACAGCCUAACAGGGAAAAAAGAUUGAAGAAAACCACGACCAUCAGUGGAGGAACCCUACUGCUCUUCGGGAUGUGUAGGACUCAGCCGACAGAGGUGGGAGAACUUCAUUUUCCUCUGACAAAACAACUGAGUCAGUGAAUGAGGCAGGUGAAGUGUUGGAGAGGCACCUUCUUCACCCUAGAGCACUGAGAGAGAGAAAUGUCAUUACCUGUCUGUGGAGCACUCUGGGAAAGGACAGAAAACAAAAUGCUUUGAGAGAAAUACCUUAACAGCCAGGGACUAGAUUUCUUUGCUGAAGCACUAAAGCCGUAGCACCUUAUUUCCUAAGGGCUGCUGAGGCACUUAGUGCAGAAAGGUCCUUAGGCACUGCUGGAGUCACCACUGCUGCUGCUGGUGUGGCAGAGGAAAAAAAAGCAGAUUAAUUACCCACCAACAUGUCUGACCUGGCAACUGGCACAAUGUCUCGUGCUCGGCACCGAGCGGCUUGGCUCUCACCUGAGCUGCAGUAACGCUUCCAGCUCCUCUUCUCCCGCCCCUGAAACACCGUGACCUCGAGAGACCAGAGGAAAUUCUUCAGACUGAAAUGUGAAUGAGCUGGUGUGAGGAAUAAUGUUUUGACUGACAGGAGGCUGACCAAAGAUGGGCUAGUGCUGUGUUAUUAAUCACAAAAACCAGUCAGGAACAGGUAUCGGAGUAAUUAGCUCCAGUAUUACACAUCUACAUUCCUGAUGCACCAAUGGUCUCCAUGCAAGGCUGUUUAAAGCCUGGGAAGGACAGAAGGACCAGUACGUGUGUGUGGAAAAUUGACGGGCAGGAGGAGGCGGCAAGUGGCCUUUCCCAUGGCCAGAAGGAAAAAUGGAAAAAGAAAAUCCACAUCGGGCUAAACAAAAGCCCUCAGUGUAUUCUGAGUCCUACUGCUGUUGAAUAUCCAGUGAGCCUGGAUGAAGCCCGAGACUGAAAAGACAACUUGUGGUGUCUGAAUCGCAGUAGCCACAAAAAUUUUCCAGUUCUCCUGAUGGCUGUUUUGAACUGUGGAUAACAACUUCCAUGGCAAAUAUUGGUUAGUAAGUAAAUCUCUGGUUAGUAAUCCUGUAGUUCAACCUGGCAGUAACUAUUGACUAUAAAGAUGUUGGUAAGCAUUUUUCUGAGAAGCAUUCUGCUCCUUUGUGUUUUACCUUUGCUUGGCUUGUCUCCAGUCUUCAACAUUUGCAUGUAAAACAUCAAAGAUAUUAAUCAGUAAAAAGCAGAAAAAAUCCUCUUACGAAUACCCCUUACGAAAAAUACUUUCUAAUAUAAAGUAUUUAUCUUAAGCCUUGUUUCUUUCACCAUUUAUUUUCUCACUUGAAUAUGGUGGAAUCAAUAUUGCAAAUCACAAUCACACAGCUCAUCAGACAUCACUGAAUUUGGCGAUUAUAAUUUUAAAUAAAAUGGCAUCUUCUCCUUAAUGGUGGAGCGGUUAGAAUUCAGGUUAUGCAAUUGCUGGGUUGCACCCAGAAUAUAAAACCUUCCUCUUGCUGUCUGUGGCACCUCUGAUGUCUUUCUUCAGUGGAAUUCAGUGCAGUAACACAGUAUAAAUGUGCUGCUUCUUGCUUCCUUCAUGUUUUUAUAUACAUUUAUACUAGAAAUUUGCACUGAUGGAACUGGAGCUGUCAGCUUUAUGGUCUUCACUUAAUUCUCUUUGACAGUUUCCUCAUCUUCAAAUUUGAAGAAAGUAUUUAUAUAGCAUUUGUUGUCCCAGGUAUCCUUCAGAGAAAUUAAUAGUCGGUCGUCAGUGAGUUGGGGAAAGACUGUGUGUUAUUGGCACUGAGCUGUUAGUGGCAAAACAACAUUGUGUUUGCUCGCUCUUCAAGCUGGAAUCUCCAUCUCUGGCACAACGGGGGAGGAAAAGGCCACUACAGCCUUUGAGGUGACGGGAGAUCUCUGUGCAGGCCGCUCUAGGGACUUUCUGUGGACCUGAAGGAGCUGUGGGGUGCCCUGGGGAAGGGGCACGGGGAGGGCUGGGGGCACGUGUGCUCAGCUGGAUGAGUGGAGGUGACAGAGGGUGACAGAGACACAACCUGGUUCCAUCUCAUCCACUCACCCUUUAUAUAAACUGAAAUGAAUAAUUCCCAGUGCUGGGCCUGGGCUGAGUCUUGGAAAGAACUGUUUGGAGCAGCCCAAAACAGAACCGGAGGCAGAUGACGGAUGUGGAGCUCCCUCUAGCCCACCCUCCUGCCCUAUCCGUCAGUGUAAACGUCUCCAAAGGUUGUUGGCCAUGCCUCUGGUGAGAAAUCAGAACUGGAGAUGGCAGCUGCUACCUUUUGAUAUAUUUUGCACAUUUUACAAAUUUGGUGAGAUGAGACUUUCAGUCUUGAUAAGGAACCUUUGCAGAAUAUACUGCUUUAUUUUCAGUAAUAUAACAUGAUUUGAGAUCCAGCCUGGACCAGGUUGAGUGGGGAGAGAGAGCAUGAAGGCCCUAUGUGUUAUCAAAGGAAACUCUCGGAUGUGACGAGUAAUGUUGAUGUGAGGACUUUCCAGAUACUUGGAGGACUUACAGUGAGCUUUCUGACCAGCGAAGGCCAGAGAGAAGACCUAAAAGGAGGGCUGACCUUCAGAAGUGCUGAACGCUUUUCCUAGCUAGCAGAGAGCUGGGUUUGUCCUGUUCUUGCAAAGCUAAUCUAUGUCUUGUGUGUGUUGAAAGGGAUGAUCUAAAAGAAGAUAACUUUUUUUCAUCCAACUUCCUGCAAACGCCAUGUUCCUGCACCAUAUUUAGGUCCAAAUUACUGUGGAUUUUUGUGAAAGGAGGAAUGAGAAACCAUUUUCCCUGACAUCAGUGCUUUAUGAUUACUGAGCUAUUUAGAAAUAUUUUACAUUGUACUGAUUUUCUCUCUCAAAAU